rnacentral:lncRNA from 1 species
ACAUUGUUCGUUAUUAUAUUCCACUCGUAAUUAUUUCUUGAACAAAUAUAUUUUAUCUAAAUUGAUUAAUCUUUAUAGAAAAAUGUUUUUAAAACAAUAAAAAAUAUUCAAAAAGUUUAACGAAAAGAAGGGAUUCUUAAAACUCAAAAAGCAUAAAAGAGAAAGAAUUAUGAAAACUUUGAAGUUUUAGUGUGAGUAUAAAGAUAAACGAAGC